GACGAACGCUUGCGGCGUGCUUAACACAUGCAAGUCGAACGGAAAGGCCCUGCUUUUGUGGGGUGCUCGAGUGGCGAACGGGUGAGUAACACGUGAGUAACCUGCCCUUGACUUUGGGAUAACUUCAGGAAACUGGGGCUAAUACCGGAUAGGAGCUCCUGCUGCAUGGUGGGGGUUGGAAAGUUUCGGCGGUUGGGGAUGGACUCGCGGCUUAUCAGCUUGUUGGUGGGGUAGUGGCUUACCAAGGCUUUGACGGGUAGCCGGCCUGAGAGGGUGACCGGCCACAUUGGGACUGAGAUACGGCCCAGACUCCUACGGGAGGCAGCAGUGGGGAAUAUUGCACAAUGGGCGGAAGCCUGAUGCAGCAACGCCGCGUGCGGGAUGACGGCCUUCGGGUUGUAAACCGCUUUCGCCUGUGACGAAGCGUGAGUGACGGUAAUGGGUAAAGAAGCACCGGCUAACUACGUGCCAGCAGCCGCGGUGAUACGUAGGGUGCGAGCGUUGUCCGGAUUUAUUGGGCGUAAAGGGCUCGUAGGUGGUUGAUCGCGUCGGAAGUGUAAUCUUGGGGCUUAACCCUGAGCGUGCUUUCGAUACGGGUUGACUUGAGGAAGGUAGGGGAGAAUGGAAUUCCUGGUGGAGCGGUGGAAUGCGCAGAUAUCAGGAGGAACACCAGUGGCGAAGGCGGUUCCCUGGGCCUUUCCUGACGCUGAGGAGCGAAAGCGUGGGGAGCGAACAGGCUUAGAUACCCUGGUAGUCCACGCUGUAAACGGUGGGUACUAGGUGUGGGGUCCAUUCCACGGGUUCCGUGCCGUAGCUAACGCUUUAAGUACCCCGCCUGGGGAGUACGGCCGCAAGGCUAAAACUCAAAGGAAUUGACGGGGCCCCGCACAAGCGGCGGAGCAUGCGGAUUAAUUCGAUGCAACGCGUAGAACCUUACCUGGGUUUGACAUGGAUCGGGAGUGCUCAGAGAUGGGUGUGCCUCUUUUGGGGUCGGUUCACAGGUGGUGCAUGCCUGUCGUCAGCUCGUGUCGUGAGAUGUUGGGUUAAGUCCCGCAACGAGCGCAACCCUUGUUCACUGUUGCCAGCACGUUAUGGUGGGGACUCAGUGGAGACCGCCGGGGUCAACUCGGAGGAAGGUGGGGAUGACGUCAAGUCCUCAUGCCCCUUAUGUCCAGGGCUUCACGCAUGCUACAAUGGCUGGUACAGAGAGUGGCGAGCCUGUGAGGGUGAGCGAAUCUCGGAAAGCCGGUCUCAGUUCGGAUUGGGGUCUGCAACUCGACCUCAUGAAGUCGGAGUCGCUAGUAAUCGCAGAUCAGCAACGCUGCGGUGAAUACGUUCCCGGG
rnacentral:rRNA from 1 species